rnacentral:rRNA from 1 species
CAGUAGCCGCGGUAAUACGAAGGGGGCUAGCGUUGUUCGGAUUUACUGGGCGUAAAGCGUGCGUAGGCGGCUUUUUAAGUCGGAUGUGAAAUCCCUGAGCUUAACUUAGGAAUUGCAUUCGAUACUGGGAAGCUAGAGUAUGGGAGAGGAUGGUAGAAUUCCAGGUGUAGCGGUGAAAUGCGUAGAGAUCUGGAGGAAUACCGAUGGCGAAGGCAGCCAUCUGGCCUAAUACUGACGCUGAGGUACGAAAGCAUGGGGAGCAAACAGGAUUAGAUACCCGUGUAGUCCCUGUCUCUUAUAA